GCCGGGCAUGGUGGCUCACGCCUGUAAUCCCAGCACUUUGGGAGGCCGAGGUGGGUGGAUCACCUGAGGUCAGGAGUUCGAGACCAGCCUGGCCAACAUGGUGAAACCCCAUCUCUA
rnacentral:SRP_RNA from 1 species